rnacentral:ncRNA from 2 species
AAAAUUAUAUUUUAUAUUGCUUUUAAUUAAUUAAAAGGGAAUUAGGUGAAAGUCCUAAACUAUCCCGUAGCUGUAUUAGAGGAGUUUAAAUGCAAUUAAGUCACUUGCGAGCAGGGAAGACGUAUUUAAACGAAGAUUCUUAAGUCAGAAGACCUGCCUAUAUUUUGCACCAGUA